rnacentral:rRNA from 1 species
AGAGUUUGAUCCUGGCUCAGGACGAACGCUGGCGGCGUGCCUAACACAUGCAAGUCGAACGAAGUAUGUUUUUCGAAACAUACUUAGUGGCGGACGGGUGAGUAACGCGUGAAUAAUCUGCCCUGUACAAAGGAAUAGCCUCGGGAAACUGGGAUUAAAACCGUAUGACACUUUUAAACCGCAUGGUUGAGAAGUCAAAUUGAUUAAGAGGUAUGGGAUGAGUUCGCGUCUGAUUAGCUAGUUGGUAAGGUAAAAGCUUACCAAGGCGACGAUCAGUAGCCGGCCUGAGAGGGUGAACGGCCACACUGGAACUGAGACACGGUCCAGACUCCUACGGGAGGCAGCAGUGGGGAAUAUUGCACAAUGGAGGAAACUCUGAUGCAGCGACGCCGCGUGAGUGAAGAAGGUCUUCGGAUCGUAAAACUCUGUCCUUGGUGAAGAAAGAAAUGACGGUAGCCAAGGAGGAAGCCCCGGCUAACUACGUGCCAGCAGCCGCGGUAAUACGUAGGGGGCGAGCGUUGUCCGGAUUUACUGGGCGUAAAGGGUGAGUAGGCGGUAAUAUGUGUCAGGUGUAAAAGGCUAAGGCUUAACCAUAGUUAGCAUUUGAAACUGUAUUACUUGAGUGCAGGANAGGUAAGUGGAAUUCCUAGUGAGGGUGAAAUGCGUAGAUNUNGGAGGACACCAGUGNGAAGGGGACUUACUGGACUGUAACUGACGCUGAGUCACGAAGCGUGGGUAGCAACAGGAUAGAUACCUGGUAUCCCGCUGUAACGAUGAUGCUAGUGUUGGGUAGCGAUAUUCAGUGCCGAAGUUAACACAAUAAGCACUCCGCCUGGGGAGUACGGUCGCAAGACUGAAACUCAAAGGAAUUGACGGGGACCCGCACAAGCAGCGGAGCAUGUGGUUUAAUUCGAAGCAACGCGAAGAACCUUACCAAGGUUUGACAUCCCCUUGACAGAUGCAGAGAUGUAUCCUCUCCUUCGGGAGCAAGGGAGACAGGUGGUGCAUGGUUGUCGUCAGCUCGUGUCGUGAGAUGUUGGGUUAAGUCCCGCAACGAGCGCAACCCUUAUCAUUAGUUGCCAGCAGGUUAAGCUGGGCACUCUAAUGAGACUGCCGAUGAUAAAUCGGAGGAAGGUGGGGAUGACGUCAAAUCAUCAUGCCCCUUAUAUCUUGGGCUACACACGUGCUACAAUAGUCGGUACAAAGGGCAGCGAAAGAGUGAUCUGGAGCAAAUCUCAAUAAACCGAUCCCAGUUCGGAUUGUAGGCUGCAACUCGCCUACAUGAAGUUGGAGUUGCUAGUAAUCGCGAAUCAGAACGUCGCGGUGAAUGCGUUCCCGGGUCUUGUACACACCGCCCGU